rnacentral:lncRNA from 1 species
UCUUAUUUCACGCCAAUUUUCUCUUAUUUUAUGUGACAAAAAUCUUCUCCCAUGUCUUCACGAUGCUCAAAAGGUUUCCUCUCUUCUUUCUUACACGAAAGAUGGUUGUGGAUCAAAUCAAAGUAGGAAUAAGUUCAAAUUCUAUGAGAUAGAGUUUUAGAAAUCCAAAACUCUUUCCUUUUUGCACCGAUUUUAUUCAGAUUUUUUUUGAGAUUUUCAUGGCUUUUAUGGCACUUGAUAGGUGCCCUUUGCUAUUAGUCCAUGUAUAAAAAGAAGGAGAGGGUGCCAAAGAGUUGGGUGCCCCUUAUCUUGCCAUGUUUGGAUAAAUCUUGACUAGGUAUUUGACCUAGAUAAGGACUCUAUCAUAUCUCUCUGUAUAAAAUAAAUUUUUUUAUAAAAUUUUUGUAAAAAGUAGAUCAAAGAG